ACCGGGCUCGCUCAGUCGGUGGAGCGUGGGACUCGUAAUCUCAGGGUUGUUAGUUUGAGCCCCACGCUGGGUG
rnacentral:tRNA from 1 species